CAAUAGCGUAUAUUAAAGUUGUUGCAGUUAAAAAGCUCGUAGUUGGAUUUGUGGCGUAUGGUGUGUUCCGGGCACUUGUUGUCUGAGUAACUUGCCAUUGCCAUCCUUGGGUGGAACCUGUGUGGCAUUAGGUUGUCGUGCAGGGGAUGCCCAUCGUUUACUGUGAAAAAAUUAGAGUGUUCAAAGCAGGCUUAUGCCGUUGAAUAUAUUAGCAUGGAAUAAUAAGAUAGGACUUUUUUGCUAUUUUGUUGGUUUGCGCAAGAAGGUAAUGAUUAAUAGGGAUAGUUGGGGGUAUUCGUAUUCCAUUGUCAGAGGUGAAAUUCUUGGAUUUUUGGAAGACGAACUACUGCGAAAGCAUUUACCAAGGAUGUUUUCAUUAA
rnacentral:rRNA from 1 species